rnacentral:lncRNA from 1 species
CCACUUUUUAUUUUUGCCCUCUGGUGGCAAAGAUAAUUGCAAUGUGACAACUUACUUGUGUGACAACAAGCCCCGGUCUCCCCUAUUUGAGAAUCAGGCCAUCCAGUUAAGAUAAAUGUAAUGUUGUUAGUUGUUAAAAUCUGGAUGAAAGAUUUUUUUUUUUUAUUUAGCUUUUUUAUUUUUCAAUUUUCCCCUUGAGGGAUUGCCACCCUAUUGUAGUCAGGGGGUUUGUGUGCCUCAGCGACCCUAAGAGCUAUACCAGCAGGAGCUUUAGUCUUCAGGUGGGACACCCAAGUUUAACAGGUCUUAGGGUAGAGGCCUGACAGAGUGCUGACAGAAUCACAUUAAUGGUGGUUCAUCUUUGUAUGUUUUGUUUCCCUGAGCUUUCCGUUUUUCUAAUUUUUCCUGCAGAGAGAGAAAAGGAAGACCACGCGAAGGAGAGAGGAGAGGAAAGGAUAGCAAGGGAAAGGAUAGGAGAAGAGGCAGGAGGGCCAAUAGUUUCAACUGUCACUGUAAAAGGUAUUUAUUAAUACUCGUUUACUUUAUCAUAGUUUAGUUGAUGCAAACCUCUAUCAUUUCCAUCAAAUGUAAUUUCUUCCUAGUGCUUAUACUUUCUUUGAUUUAAUUUUACUGACAGAGACAGAAAAGAGAGGAGAGGAAAGCAGAGGAGAGGAGGUGGGAGGGAAAAAGGUUCAAACUUUAAAUUUGAAAGGUAUUUAUCUAUUAACUUAUUUUUAUCAACACUAUUAAUGCAAUCAUAACAAUCCUCCCUCUGGUGUCUGACUUUCUUCAUGAUAACUUUGCCUCCUGUUCUUUUCUGGACUCAUUGAUAGAUUUAUGAACUGAACUCUUGAGGACAGGGAGAGGAGGUUUGAGAACUAGAAAAAAAGGGAGCAGCUGAGCCUACAGGGAAGUCUCCAGGUAAGUGCUGAAAAAGUAAAUGUGAAGGAGUUGUUGCAUGAGUUUAAUGAGGAGCUGUAUGUGGAUAAGUAAAAACAUUCCAUUAAAGAAGAACAGACUGACCUGAUAUAACAGAACGUUUUUUAAAUACUGCACAUUAUAAAGCUUUUGUUAAAUUAUUAUUAUUUUUUAAGAUUAAACAUUUGUUUUUUAUGUUUUUUUUUUCAGGGAAGGACAAAGCAAAGAGUAGAAGAGAGGAGGAGGUGAAGGAGAGGAGGCGGGAGGGCCAAAGGUUUCAACUGUCAAUGUAAUACUUGUUUACUUUAUCAUAGUUUAGUUGAUGCAAACCUCUAUCAUUCCUAUCAUGUGUAGUUUUUUCUGGCACUUAAACUUUCUUUGCUUUAAUUUUACUGACAGAGACAAAAAAGAGAGAAGAGGAGAGGAGAAAAAAGGAGAGGAGAGGAGGAAAGACAGGGUUUUUCCUGCGUUCAAAAUUGCGUGGCGGCCGCCUCCACCUAAUUUUGUGCCGCCCCCAGCCAGAGCGAUUGAUUUCGCUCAACACAGCGUAAAGCUCCAGCUGUGUUGAUUGAGUGUAUGAUGUCCCUCUGCAGCAGCAACGUAUUUUAACUGCAGUUGCAGCGUUGCGCCACUAUAGAGGCGCUAUAUCAACAGCAGUGCACCGGAAAGACCUGAAGCAUCUAUCUACCGAAGAAGAAACGGAUCGAAUCAUGUUUUUUCAAGUUUUUUUCCCGCUAGUUGGUGCUAUCGGCGACCUGAUUUUCCCCGGCGGCUGGUACAAACAGGUAAAUACUGCUUGUCUUUUUUGCAUCCAAGCAUGACGUGUUUAUUAAAAAAAAAGUUUCCUCCGUUUUUUUAGCGUUGCAGAUAUGACAGGCAAAAUCAGCCUUUAAAAAGCGACCUCGCGAGGAGGAAAGUCAAGAGUCCAGGUGAAACAAAGCAGAGAAAAAACGUAACAGGCAGUUAAAAUGUUAUAACUCAUGGUGGGGACAACGUGGACAUUUGUGUCAGGUCUGAAAGUACUUAACAAGGGACUGGUGAUCGCGAGGGUCAGAAUGCAGGACAGGACGAGUCGGCGAGGCGAGGGUAAUUAAUUAAUUAGUUUCCAAUUAGGAGCAUAACAACGCAAAACCAACGUGUACGUGGUUUUUAUUCCUCUGUCUAGAUCUUCUCAAAAACACAGAGCCAGUGGCUUUGACAAGCAGUGGCUCAAUCAAUUUACCUGGCUCAGGCAUACUGAGGAAGGCAUGCACUGCUAUUUAUGCCAAAAGCACUGUGCCCCAACACAGCAGGCAAUUGCUGCCUCCUUAGUGAGACAGCCAUCAACCAACUACAGGCUGGACACAUUAAAAAGACAUGAGGUGACAGCCAUUCACAAAGCAGCAGAAGAGAAGGAGAAAUAUAUUAAAGAUGGUAGUACCUAAAAACACUCAACUAAUAAAGUUACAAAAAAUAAAAUAACAUAGUUUAGAUAGUUUAAGAAAUAAUUGGUUGUCGUUUUUUUAGGGAGGACACUGCAACGUACACAUAUAUAUAAUAUAUGAUUGAAAACGCUAUCACUCUUCAUGUCUGUAUCAGAAUAAAAACAAAAAUACUUAAUGCAUGAUGAAUUGUUUUGUUUAAGGUGAAGACACCUCUGCGGAACAGACUGAAGGAGAGGCACUUGGAUGUCUGUUGUAAGGUGGCCGUUGAUGGACCAGACCAGGAGUCCUUGGACUACAAGGAGUGCAUGAGGAGGUUCUACAGAAUGAAAAAGAGGAGGCUGAAAUAGUGCUGGGCGAUUGGACGAUAUAUAUCGUUGGCACGAUAGAAAAU